rnacentral:rRNA from 1 species
AGUGAACGCUGGCGGUAGGCCUAACACAUGCAAGUCGAACGGCAGCACAGUAAGAGCUUGCUCUUACGGGUGGCGAGUGGCGGACGGGUGAGGAAUACAUCGGAAUCUACUUUUUCGUGGGGGAUAACGUAGGGAAACUUACGCUAAUACCGCAUACGACCUACGGGUGAAAGCAGGGGAUCUUCGGACCUUGCGCGAUUGAAUGAGCCGAUGUCGGAUUAGCUAGUUGGCGGGGUAAAGGCCCACCAAGGCGACGAUCCGUAGCUGGUCUGAGAGGAUGAGCAGCCACACUGGAACUGAGACACGGUCCAGACUCGGACGGGAGGCAGCAGUGGGGAAUAUUGGACAAGGGGCGCAAGCCUGAUCCAGCCAUACAGCGUGGGUGAAGAAGGCCUUCGGGUUGUAAAGCCCUUUUGUUGGGAAAGAAAAGCAGCAGGUUAAGACCCCGCUGUUCUGACGGUACCCAAAGAAUAAGCACCGGCGAACUUCGG